GGCUUUGAAGCAGAAGCUGAAGAUGGGGAAUUGGAAUUGAAUGGAGAUACAGGAGGGUAUGAUUCUUUUGCAUCACAAGACUUCGUCAUAAAAUUUGAAGAAGAAAACAAGAAAUUUGCCAUUGAGGAGGAGGUUGGUCAUGUCUAUGAGAGACUGCAAGCGCUUGAAGCAGAUAGGGAGUUCCUAAAGCAUUGCAUUAGCUCCUUGAGGAAAGGAGAUAAGGGAUUAGUUCUUCUCCAAGAGAUUUUGGAACAUCUUCGUGAUCUGAGAAGUGUGGAACUCCGUCUGAGGACAACGGGAGACAGCGUCCUAUAAUUGCUAUCUAUGCAUCCAAGGCUUCAUAGGUGUUCCGUUCGGGUUAAAACAGCUGCAGAUAUAGGAAGAAUACCAAUGCCAUGGUGUUCUGAUGUUACUUGAUACAGAAGGCAAAUAUAAUUAUGCAGUUUCAACAAUGUCAAGGGGGGAAAUUCCCUGGAUGGAGAGGGAGGCUCCUGGCAAUGGCAUGGUCUGUUUGGUGAUCAUGGUGGACUUCAAAUUCAAGUCUGCCAAUUUUUAUUUUUAUUUUUUUACUGGUUUUGUGUCAAUGUAGGCCCAAAUUUUUUUGUGGGCUGCGCCCAUCAAGACCUUUUGAAGGAAAAAGGGGGAUGAUAAGCCUAUGUGUGUGUAGGAUAGUGAGGUGAAGCCACCCUGUCAAUUGUAUGUUGUGAUGAUAUGAGAAAAGGCCUGGCUUGCAAAGCUGGCAAGAUCCAACACAGAUUCCAGUGCCAGGUACAUAGAGCAUUAGUUUAUUAGACAGUUAGAAUUAAUUAGGACACUUUUUUUUUUCUUUCUGGUAAGUUCUGUUUGUGGGAAAGGAAAAGUAGGGGAUGACUAAUCCCUAUAUCUUUCUCAACUUUUGCAUCAUUUGAUCAUAUGGGAUUUGUUUAUUAUGUUUUGAGGGACAAAGAAGUUGAGUUAGUAGUUGUAUACUACAUGUAUCCAUCUGUAAGUACAUAGAAAAGUGAGUGUGUGUUUAUACUGUCU